rnacentral:lncRNA from 1 species
CCACCCCCUUCCUUCUCCUCGCUCUCUUCUUUCUUCCUUCUCUCUUUCUUUUCUCCCCUCCCCCCUUUCCCCACCAUGCCUGCCCCCUCCCCUUCCCCCCUCCAAUAUGGCCGAGAUCAAAUCGAGAUCUCUGGUCACGACAUCGCUGCUAGAUCGCAACCUCUGGUUUAUGAGGAGAAAGAGGAGUGGGGUGGGGUGUGGCGAGAAAUAGGAGAGGAAGGGGAAGAGAGGAGGAGGAGGAGGAAGAGGGAGGGAGAUGAAAGAGAAGGAAAGAGGAUGAAGAGAGCGGGAGGAAGAGGAAAAAGAAGGAAAGAUGAGGAGGAAGAGAGAGGAGGAGGAAGAGAGAGGAGGAGGAGAUGGUGACGAUAGUGGGUUGGGAGGGUGGUGGUAGGUGAUGGUGAUAGAUGAAAGAAGAUAAUAAAGUAGAUUCUAUUUUUUAUUUUUUUUGGUAUAUUUAUAGUUGUUUUUGAUAUAUUGUAUGGACAUAUGUUUUUGGAAUUGUUUUUAUUUGUGUAUUAUUGUAGUAUUAUAUAUAAAAAACUUGUUUUUUAAAAAAUGAGGAAUCCAAACGGA